UACAGAGGUCUCGAGCGUUAGGCGGAAUCACUGGGCUUAAAGCGUGUGUAGGCGGAUCUGUAAGUACCUUGUGAAAUCCCACGGCUCAACCGUGGAACUGCUUGGUAUACUGCGGGUCUUGAGCCACCUAGGGGCAAGUGGAACAAACGGUGGAGCGGUGAAAUGCGUAGAUAUCAUGUGGAACGCCAACGGCGAAAGCAGGCAGCUGGGGAUGCACCGACGCUGAGACACGAAAGCCAGGGGAGCGAACGGG
rnacentral:rRNA from 1 species